rnacentral:rRNA from 1 species
UGUGAGGCAUGCUGGAGGUAUCAGAAGUGCGAAUGCUGACAUAAGUAACGAUAAAGCGGGUGAAAAGCCCGCUCGCCGGAAGACCAAGGGUUCCUGUCCAACGUUAAUCGGGGCAGGGUGAGUCGACCCCUAAGGCGAGGCCGAAAGGCGUAGUCGAUGGGAAACAGGUUAAUAUUCCUGUACUUGGUGUUACUGCGAAGGGGGGACGGAGAAGGCUAUGUUAGCCGGGCGACGGUUGUCCCGGUUUAAGCAUGUAGGCUGGUUGUCCAGGCAAAUCCGGAUAAUCAAGGCUGAGGUGUGAUGACGAGGCACUACGGUGCUGAAGUAACAAAUGCCCUGCUUCCAGGAAAAGCCUCUAAGCAUCAGGUAACAUUAAAUCGUACCCCAAACCGACACAGGUGGUCAGGUAGAGAAUACCAAGGCGCUUGAGAGAACUCGGGUGAAGGAACUAGGCAAAAUGGUGCCGUAACUUCGGGAGAAGGCACGCUGGUGUGUAGGUGAAGUCCCUGCGGAUGGAGCUGAGACCAGUCGAAGAUACCAGCUGGCUGCAACUGUUUAUUAAAAACACAGCACUGUGCAAACACGAAAGUGGACGUAUACGGUGUGACGCCUGCCCGGUGCCGGAAGGUUAAUUGAUGGGGUUAUCCGUAAGGAGAAGCUCUUGAUCGAAGCCCCGGUAAACGGCGGCCGUAACUAUAACGGUCCUAAGGUAGCGAAAUUCCUUGUCGGGUAAGUUCCGACCUGCACGAAUGGCGUAAUGAUGGCCAGGCUGUCUCCACCCGAGACUCAGUGAAAUUGAACUCGCUGUGAAGAUGCAGUGUACCCGCGGCAAGACGGAAAGACCCCGUGAACCUUUACUAUAGCUUGACACUGAACAUUGAGCCUUGAUGUGUAGGAUAGGUGGGAGGCUUUGAAGCGUGGACGCCAGUCUGCGUGGAGCCAACCUUGAAAUACCACCCUUUAAUGUUUGAUGUUCUAACGUUGGCCCCUUACCGGGGUUGCGGACAGUGUCUGGUGGGUAGUUUGACUGGGGCGGUCUCCUCCCAAAGCGUAACGGAGGAGCACGAAGGUUAGCUAAUCCUGGUCGGACAUCAGGAGGUUAGUGCAAUGGCAUAAGCUAGCUUGACUGCGAGCGUGACGGCGCGAGCAGGUGCGAAAGCAGGUCAUAGUGAUCCGGUGGUUCUGAAUGGAAGGGCCAUCGCUCAACGGAUAAAAGGUACUCCGGGGAUAACAGGCUGAUACCGCCCAAGAGUUCAUAUCGACGGCGGUGUUUGGCACCUCGAUGUCGGCUCAUCACAUCCUGGGGCUGAAGUAGGUCCCAAGGGUAUGGCUGUUCGCCAUUUAAAGUGGUACGCGAGCUGGGUUUAGAACGUCGUGAGACAGUUCGGUCCCUAUCUGCCGUGGGCGCUGGAGAAUUGAGGGGGGCUGCUCCUAGUACGAGAGGACCGGAGUGGACGCAUCACUGGUGUUCGGGUUGUCAUGCCAAUGGCACUGCCCGGUAGCUAAAUGCGGAAGAGAUAAGUGCUGAAAGCAUCUAAGCACGAAACUUGCCCCGAGAUGAGUUCUCCCUGAGACUUUAAGUCUCCUGAAGGAACGUUGAAGACGAUGACGUUGAUAGGCCGGGUGUGUAAGCGCAGCGAUGCGUUGAGCUAACCGGUACUAAUGAACCGUGAGGCUUAACCUU